GGAUUGUGAUGAAGUUGCCAUACCUGAUUUGUUGAUGAAAAAAACUUCAUACGGAUCUGGCUUCUGAGUC
ensembl:snoRNA